rnacentral:rRNA from 1 species
AUUGAACGCUGGCGGCAUGCCUUACACAGGCAAGUCGAACGGCAGCACGGGAGCAAUCCUGGUGACGAGUGGCGAACGGGUGCGUAAAGUAUCGGAACGUGCCCAGUCGUGGGGGAUAACGUAGCGAAAGUUACGCUAAUACCGCAUACGAUCUAUGGAUGAAAGCGGGGGAUCGCAAGACCUCGCGCGAUUGGAGCGGCCGAUAUCAGAUUAGGUAGCUGGUGGGGUAAAGGCUCACCAAGACGACGAUCUGUAGCUGGUCUGCGAGGACGACCAGCUACACUGGGACUGAGACACGGCCCAGACUCCUACGGGCGGCAGCAGUGGGGAAUUUUGGACAAUGUGCGCAAGCCUGAUCCAGCCAUGCCGCGUGCAGGAUGAAGGCCUUCGGGUUGUAAACUGCUUUUGUACGGAACGAAAAGGUUUGACUUAAUACGUUGGACUCAUGACGGUACCGUAAGAAUAAGCACCGGCUAACUACGUGACAGCCGCCGCGGUAA